rnacentral:lncRNA from 1 species
UGUUUACAGGAAAACCAUAAAAUCUGAUGGUAUUGCUGGACUUUAUCGCGGUUUUAAUAUAUCUUGUGUUGGAAUUAUUGUGUACCGUGGUCUCUACUUUGGAAUGUAUGAUUCUCUUAAACCUGUUGUUCUGGUUGGUAAUUUACAGGUAUGAUUUAUGCUGAUGCCACCUGUUCCUACCUUCCCUCCUUUCUUUUCUCCCAAAGCUUCUGUUGCAUAUAAUGUUGUUUGGAAAUAUUAAGAAUCUGUUGUGUUGAAACACUGUGUCUUUUACAGGAUAGUUUCUUUGCUAGU